rnacentral:misc_RNA from 1 species
UCGUCAUCUCGCUUUAGGUUCCCUGUGUUGCAUACCUUCGAGACGGUAUCCUGUCGGCUAGAAUCGCCCCGUUUCGCCCGACGUCGCGAGCAACAUCGCGACCGAGGGCGAACCGAAAAGCACUCAUCGCGUUCCACCCCGUUCGCGUGACGCGCUGCGGGACACGGCCCGCGAUGACGUGCUCGAAUUCUCGGAUGCGGACCACGA